rnacentral:rRNA from 1 species
GAUGAACGCUGGCGGCGUGCCUAAUACAUGCAAGUCGAGCGAACGGACGAGAAGCUUGCUUCUCUGAUGUUAGCGGCGGACGGGUGAGUAACACGUGGAUAACCUACCUAUAAGACUGGGAUAACUUCGGGAAACCGUAGCUAAUACCGGAUAAUAUUUUGAACCGCAUGGUUCAAAAGUGAAAGACGGUCUUGCUGUCACUUAUAGAUGGAUCCGCGCUGCAUUAGCUAGUUGGUAAGGUAACGGCUUACCAAGGCAACGAUGCAUAGCCGACCUGAGAGGGUGAUCGGCCACACUGGAACUGAGACACGGUCCAGACUCCUACGGGAGGCAGCAGUAGGAAAUCUUGCGCAAUGGGCGAAAGCCUGACGGAGCAACGCCGCGUGAGUGAUGAAGGUCUUCGGAUCGUAAAACUCUGUUAUGAGGGAAGAACAUAUGUGUAAGUAACUGUGCACAUCUUGACGGUACCUAAUCAGAAAGCCACGGCUAACUACGU